rnacentral:rRNA from 1 species
GACGAACGCUGGCGGCGUGCCUAAUACAUGCAAGUCGAGCGGAAUGAUGAAGAAGCUUGCUUCUUCUGAUUUUAGCGGCGGACGGGUGAGUAACACGUGGGCAACCUACCUUGUAGAUUGGGAUAACUCCGGGAAACCGGGGCUAAUACCGAAUAAUCCAUUUUGCUUCAUGGCGAGAUGUUGAAAGACGGUUUCGGCUGUCACUAUAAGAUGGGCCCGCGGCGCAUUAGCUAGUUGGUAGGGGUAAUGGCCUACCAAGGCGACGAUGCGUAGCCGACCUGAGAGGGUGAUCGGCCACACUGGGACUGAGACACGGCCCAGACUCCUACGGGAGGCAGCAGUAGGGAAUCUUCCACAAUGGACGAAAGUCUGAUGGAGCAACGCCGCGUGAGUGAAGAAGGUUUUCGGAUCGUAAAACUCUGUUGUAAGGGAAGAACACGUACGAGAGUAACUGCUCGUACCUUGACGGUACCUUAUUAGAAAGCCACGGCUAACUACGUG